rnacentral:rRNA from 3 species
GAUUGAACGCUGGCGGCAGGCCUAACACAUGCAAGUCGAACGGUAACAGGAAGCAGCUUGCUGCUUUGCUGACGAGUGGCGGACGGGUGAGUAAUGUCUGGGAAACUGCCUGAUGGAGGGGGAUAACUACUGGAAACGGUGGCUAAUACCGCAUAACGUCGCAAGACCAAAGAGGGGGACCUUCGGGCCUCUUGCCAUCAGAUGUGCCCAGAUGGGAUUAGCUUGUUGGUGAGGUAACGGCUCACCAAGGCGACGAUCCCUAGCUGGUCUGAGAGGAUGACCAGCCACACUGGAACUGAGACACGGUCCAGACUCCUACGGGAGGCAGCAGUGGGGAAUAUUGCACAAUGGGCGCAAGCCUGAUGCAGCCAUGCCGCGUGUAUGAAGAAGGCCUUCGGGUUGUAAAGUACUUUCAGCGGGGAGGAAGGUGUUGUGGUUAAUAACCGCAGCAAUUGACGUUACCCGCAGAAGAAGCACCGGCUAACUCCGUGCCAGCAGCCGCGGUAAUACGGAGGGUGCAAGCGUUAAUCGGAAUUACUGGGCGUAAAGCGCACGCAGGCGGUCUGUCAAGUCGGAUGUGAAAUCCCCGGGCUCAACCUGGGAACUGCAUUCGAAACUGGCAGGCUUGAGUCUUGUAGAGGGGGGUAGAAUUCCAGGUGUAGCGGUGAAAUGCGUAGAGAUCUGGAGGAAUACCGGUGGCGAAGGCGGCCCCCUGGACAAAGACUGACGCUCAGGUGCGAAAGCGUGGGGAGCAAACAGGAUUAGAUACCCUGGUAGUCCACGCCGUAAACGAUGUCUACUUGGAGGUUGUGCCCUUGAGGCGUGGCUUCCGGAGCUAACGCGUUAAGUAGACCGCCUGGGGAGUACGGCCGCAAGGUUAAAACUCAAAUGAAUUGACGGGGGCCCGCACAAGCGGUGGAGCAUGUGGUUUAAUUCGAUGCAACGCGAAGAACCUUACCUGGUCUUGACAUCCACAGAAGAAUCCAGAGAUGGAUUUGUGCCUUCGGGAACUGUGAGACAGGUGCUGCAUGGCUGUCGUCAGCUCGUGUUGUGAAAUGUUGGGUUAAGUCCCGCAACGAGCGCAACCCUUAUCCUUUGUUGCCAGCGGUUAGGCCGGGAACUCAAAGGAGACUGCCAGUGAUAAACUGGAGGAAGGUGGGGAUGACGUCAAGUCAUCAUGGCCCUUACGACCAGGGCUACACACGUGCUACAAUGGCGCAUACAAAGAGAAGCGACCUCGCGAGAGCAAGCGGACCUCAUAAAGUGCGUCGUAGUCCGGAUUGGAGUCUGCAACUCGACUCCAUGAAGUCGGAAUCGCUAGUAAUCGUGGAUCAGAAUGCCACGGUGAAUACGUUCCCGGGCCUUGUACACACCGCCCGUCACACCAUGGGAGUGGGUUGCAAAAGAAGUAGGUAGCUUAACCUUCGGGAGGGCGCUUACCACUUUGUGAUUCAUGACUGGGGUGAAGUCGUAACAAGGUAACCGUAGGGGAACCUGCGGUUGGA